AUUGAACGCUGGCGGCAGGCCUAACACAUGCAAGUCGAACGCGUGGCGGACGGGUGAGUAAUGUCUGGGAAACUGCCCGAUGGGGGGGGAUAAUUACUGGAAAAGGUAGCUAAUACCGCAUAUCAUCGGAUGUGCCCAGAUGGGAUUAGCUAGUAGGGGGGGUAACGGCUCACCUAGGCGCCGAUCCCUAGCUGGGCUGGGAGGAUGACCAGCAAUACUGGAACUGAGACACGGUCCAGACUCCUACGGGAGGCAGCAGUGGGGAAUAUUGCACAAUGGGCGCAAGCCUGAUGCAGCCAUGCCGCGUGUAUGAAGAAGGCCUUCGGGUUGUAAAGUACUUUCAGCGAGGAGGCGUUACUCGCAGAAGAAGCACCGGCUAACUCCGUGCCAGCAGCCGCGGUAAUAC
rnacentral:rRNA from 1 species